AAUAACCAUGACUACGAGAACUUUGAUAACGUCAAUAAAACAGUAACUUGACACCCUGACAGCAAACCAUGUGAUUUCAAAGAACAAGCUCAACUGUGGUCAGGCAACAAGCAGUGAUAUGGUUGGCUGCCGUGAAAGGCCUUACAGAAGACAAGUGUUUGCUGUUCCUUUAAAUGUACUCGAGAGGAAGAUCAAAGACCAUAUGAAGUUCAAAGGUUGUCUCGGAGGUCUCAGAUGCUAUAUUUGGGGUCCAGGAUGGCUGGGUGGUGGUGCCCAGGCCCCAGAGAAUGGUGUAAGACAAGAGUUUGGAGCCCUAUAAACCCAGAGCUAGAAGUGAUACUAGACUCUACCCAGACCCAGCUGGAAGCACGAGGGACCCAGCAAACGGGUCCACUCACAACAGACUGAUGACUGUACAGUGUGGGACUGGGCCAGGAUGUAACAACCAGUAACGUGACACAAAUCUUCUCUGUACAGUUCAGGGUUCGCUCUAAAUUUUGGUUCCUCAACUUCAUGGUUAAAAUAGGCAAGCUCCAUUUCAUUUUGAAUACACUGAUUGCACGUUAAGUUGCUAUGCAUUACUUAAUUAAAAUUGUUUCAUACAUAAAUGAUUUUCAAAGUAUUUUAAAUACAGUGAAACCUCAGAGUUGUGAACACCUUGGGAAUGGAGGUUGUUCAGAACUCUGAACAAAACGUUAUGGUGGUUCUUUCAAAAGUUUAC